UUGUGGCAGUGAAAAAUGGAAGAGCUCUUGUUAAGGUGGUAUUGAUUGAGAGUUUUUUGGAGACAGAACAGAGAAGAGUACUUGUAGAAGAUGAAAAGAGGAAAGAGAACAUGAUUCUCUUUGUUGCAUCGGCCGGUUAAAUUUUGCUAGUAUUGUUUGUUUGAAGAUAGAGAAAGAAAGAGUUCGGUGAUGAAUGACGAAUACGAUGACGCGGUUCCUGAUUUAGAGCUUAG
rnacentral:misc_RNA from 1 species